GUGCAUGUUUAGAAUCAGUUGAUGUGUUCUUUUUAUUGUAGAUCACAUCUCCUCUAUCCAUGCCAUAUAAUCAUAAGGAGUUAUCAGGGCUGCCAGCUUUUCAGUACAGGCUGAGCGGUAGUAUAUUACUCCUACAUUA